rnacentral:rRNA from 1 species
GACGUAGGGCGCGAGCGUUGUCCGGAUUUAUUGGGCGUAAAGAGCUCGUAGGCGGCUUGUCGCGUCGACUGUGAAAUCCCGCGGCUCAACUGCGGGUCUGCAGUCGAUACGGGCAGGCUAGAGUUCGGUAGGGGAGACUGGAAUUCCUGGUGUAGCGGUGAAAUGCGCAGAUAUCAGGAGGAACACCGGUGGCGAAGGCGGGUCUCUGGACCGAUACUGACACUGAGGAGCGAAAGCGUGGGGAGCGAACAGG